UACGUAGGGGGCAAGCGUUGUCCGGAAUCAUUGGGCGUAAAGAGCGUGUAGGCGGUCCGGUAAGUCCGUUGUGAAAGUCGAGGGCUCAACCCUCGAAUGCCGGCGGAUACUGUCGGACUAGAGUCCGGAAGAGGCGAGUGGAAUUCCUGGUGUAGCGGUGAAAUGCGCAGAUAUCAGGAGGAACACCGGUGGCGAAGGCGGGUCUCUGGGCCGUAACUGACGCUGAGGAGCGAAAGCAUGGGAGCGAACAGG
rnacentral:rRNA from 1 species